AGAGUUUGAUCCUGGCUCAGGAUGAACGCUGGCGGCGUGCUUAACACAUGCAAGUCGAGCGAAGCGGCUGAAUUGAUUCUUCGGAUGAUUUUCAGCUGACUGAGCGGCGGACGGGUGAGUAACGCGUGGGUGACCUGCCCCAUACCGGGGGAUAACAGCUGGAAACGGCUGCUAAUACCGCAUAAGCGCACGAAGCUGCAUGGCUUUGUGUGAAAAACUCCGGUGGUAUGAGAUGGACCCGCGUCUGAUUAGUUAGUUGGUGGGGUAACGGCCUACCAAGGCGACGAUUAGUAGCCGGCCUGAGAGGGUGAACGGUCACAUUGGGACUGAGACACGGCCCAAACUCCUACGGGAGGCAGCAGUGGGGAAUAUUGCACAAUGGGGGAAACCCUGAUGCAGCGACGCCGCGUGAGCGAAGAAGUAUUUCGGUAUGUAAAGCUCUAUCAGCAGGGAAGAAAAUGACGGUACCUGACUAAGAAGCACCGGCUAAAUACGUGCCAGCAGCCGCGGUAAUACGUAUGGUGCAAGCGUUAUCCGGAUUUACUGGGUGUAAAGGGAGCGUAGACGGUUGGGUAAGUCUGAUGUGAAAGCCCGGGGCUCAACCCCGGGACUGCAUUGGAAACUAUGUAACUAGAGUGUCGGAGAGGUAAGCGGAAUUCCUAGUGUAGCGGUGAAAUGCGUAGAUAUUAGGAGGAACACCAGUGGCGAAGGCGGCUUACUGGACGAUCACUGACGUUGAGGCUCGAAAGCGUGGGGAGCAAACAGGAUUAGAUACCCUGGUAGUCCACGCCGUAAACGAUGACUACUAGGUGUCGGGGAGCAAAGCUCUUCGGUGCCGCAGCAAACGCAAUAAGUAGUCCACCUGGGGAGUACGUUUCGCAAGAAUGAAACUCAAAGGAAUUGACGGGGGCCCGCACAAGCAGUGGAGUAUGUGGUUUAAUUCGACGCAACGCGAAGAACCUUACCAAGUCUUGACAUCCUGCGACGCACAUAGAAAUAUGUUUUUCCUUCGGGACGCAGAGACAGGUGGUGCAUGGUUGUCGUCAGCUCGUGUCGUGAGAUGUUGGGUUAAGUCCCGCAACGGGCGCAACCCUUAUGGUCAGUUACUACGCAAGAGGACUCUGGCCAGACUGCCGUUGACAGAACGGAGGAAGGUGGGGAUGACGUCAAAUCAUCAUGCCCUUUAUGACUUGGGCUACACACGUACUACAAUGGCGUUAAACAAAGAGAAGCAAGACCGCGAGGUGGAGCAAAACUCAGAAACAACGUCCCAGUUCGGACUGCAGGCUGCAACUCGCCUGCACGAAGUCGGAAUUGCUAGUAAUCGCAGAUCAGCAUGCUGCGGUGAAUACGUUCCCGGGCCUUGCACACAAAGGCCGUCA
rnacentral:rRNA from 1 species